rnacentral:rRNA from 1 species
GACGAACGCUGGCGGCGUGCUUAACACAUGCAAGUCGAACGGAAAGGCCCCUUUGGGGGUCCUCGAGUGGCGAACGGGUGAGUAACACGUGAGUAACCUGCCCUUGACUUCGGGAUAACUUCAGGAAACUGGGGCUAAUACCGGAUAGGAAUCCUUGCUGCAUGGUGGGGGUUGGAAAGCUUCGGCGGGUUUGGAUGGACUCGCGGCUUAUCAGCUUGUUGGUGGGGUAGUGGCUUACCAAGGCUUUGACGGGUAGCCGGCCUGAGUGGGCGACCGGCCACAUUGGGACUGAGAGACGGCCCAGACUCCUACGGGAGGCAGCAGUGGGGAAUAUUGCACAAUGGGCGGAAGCCUGAUGCAGCAACGCCGCGUGCGGGAUGACGGCCUUCGGGUUGUAAACCGCUUUCAGCAGGGGCGAAGCUUGUGGUGACGGUACCUGCAGAAGAAGCACCGGCUAACUACGUG